GGGUCUAUAGCUCCGCUGGUUAGAGCGCACGCCUGAUAAGCGUGAGGUCGAUGGUUCGAGUCCAUUUAGACCCACCA
rnacentral:tRNA from 1 species